CUCUUUCGCUACACAACGCUCUUCCUAAGUAAGAGUAGAGGGGUGGGGGGCAAUUUUGGGUGUGGGUGUACAAUGGACACCACCUAACCCAGAAAAAAUACAGCCAAGAGCAGAGAAAACCAAACAACAGCCACAACAGAUGGCAAUGAUGCACCUUUCUUCCUAAAAGAAGGCCAAAGGCUGUAAGGAAAGGGGAACACUGAUCUGACCCUCGGUGGCCUCACAGGCCAGGGAUUUGGCUUGUUUUCUGCAGGAAGAGCAAGUCCAUGAACACCGUCUCUGGUCUUAGGGGCUCUUUCUUCCUGACACCGUAGUCAAGGCUAGGCACCCUACGUGCACAGACUCCACACGUGGGUAUCUACAGCUAGUGCUCGCAAACCCUUGAUCAGAACUCAGUUACAAUUCCGAGUAAUUAAUCUUCAUGUAUCCCCUCCACUUUCUGGGGGGCGAGUGGGGGGGGGGGGAGUGCUCACAAGUAAAUACGAGGAUGAGCAGUAGAAACAAGAAGUUGGAACUUCCAGUAUACACUCCAUUGACUCCAGCUUUAAGGGCUGACCUCUUCUCGACCCCUGUUUCAUUUUAAUCCCUUAGUGGUUCUUUGAAAGAGACUGCUCCACUCUCCCAUGCCCCAUAUGGUCCUCUUGCAGCCAUAUUUAACAAAAUCAGUGCACACACUCUUGGUAUGUCUCCACAGAAGUAGCUACCUGCUCAGUGCCUUCAACACUGGUACAGAAACCCUUAAGCAAUAGGAGUCUGUUAGAAGCCACCUCAAGUUUUAAACUGUGAGAUCUGCAAAAGGUCAGGUGGCCGUUCUUCUACUCUGGCUCCUCUCGUCAUUUGACAGGGCCCAGAUAUAGACAUAAUUAUGGCCAAGGCCUUCCAGGAAACUGCAGAGGGGCUGCACACAAAGGGAUCUUAUUACGAGAUAGUUUCAUCAGGCAAAUAAGAACUGGAGGGAAGAUGCCAAACCAACCGCUUGCAAGACAUAUUGCCUACUCGCUCCCUAAUUACCUUUUCAUAAAACUGACAGCACUGAAAAUUUCCUGGGGAUUUGGGAAUAAAAAUAAAAACUUGUUAUCUUGUAAAAUGGAAGAAAAGCUGUCUCUUAACAGGGCCUGCUAAAUUCUACCAAAGCCAAACAUGAAAGUCUGACCUCUCAAAGUAAUCAGCACUGUUUGAAAACCAUUAAAAUAUAUAUUAAGAUCUAUUUUUCCUGUAGAAAGAAAAGAGAGAAAGAAAGGAGAGAACGAAAGAAAGAACAAAAAGAAAGAAAAAUUAUGUCCAAUUUAGUCGCAACUAUUUCAAAACCGUAGAUUCCGAUCAAAGGCAACUGAGCAGGGAAUUCCCAGUUCUCAAUCAUCUCUGCACUGACGACAGGCAGUGCGAACCCACUGUGUGCAGAGCAGAGACAGAAAGCUGGGGGUGGCUCUGCGGCCAACAAGAGGAGGCCGGCCUGGCCUUCGAGAAAACUCCCACAUGCCUGUGCCAGUCGUGCUGCACGUAGACAAGACCACAGUAAUGCGACAUGACCAAAGCAGAGAGAAAUAUUUGAUGGAAAGUUUUGUUGUUAUUGUAACCUAUUUCUCUUUUGGAAGCACUACCAACAAGACCAGCAGAGAUGGGAAAACAAGAAAGAGAUCGAUCGAUCAAUUCAGCUACUUAAUACCAACCAGAAAAUGGUUUGGCAAGUAAGGUAGUAAAAUUUAGUGAGUCUAAUUUUUGAAAGAAAGACUCCUGGAGAAUCUCUGGAUUAUAAGUAUCUUUGUGCAUUAUUUUUUUUGUUUGUUUUUUAUUUUAUUUUAUUUUUUAAAUUUACAUCCAAGUUAGUUAGCAUAUUUAUGCAUUAUUACAAAAGACUGUAUUAGCUGUGUUUAUUUAUCUGCCCAGAUAAAGACACGGUUGCGGGGCACCUGGGUGGCUCAGUCGGUGAAGCAUCUGACUUCGGCUCAGUCGGUGAAGCAUCUGACUUCGGCUCAGGUCAGGAUCUCAUAUUUCAUGGGUUCUGGCCCCACAUUGGGCUCUCAGCUCACGAUCUCACAGUUCAUGCUUUGAGCCCCACAUCAGCACAGAGCCCACUUCGAAUCCUCUGUCUCUCUCUCUGCCCCUCCCCCAUUCACGCUCAUACAUGUGCAUACAUGCUCUCUCUCAAAAAUAAACAUUAAAAAAAACCAGAUACUGUCCUAAAAGGUUAGUAUGCAUAGUAUGCAUGCCACUUCCCUGUUAUAUUAAGAAAUGUCUAAAUUAUUUUUCUUGUCUCAGCUAACAAACUAUUAGGAUUUAUUUUUACACACACACACACACACACACACACACACACACUCUAACCCACCAGUCCCAACAUUUUAAGUCCAAAGUUCUCAGACAGUACACCCACUCUCCCACCAGAACUUCACUGCUGCUGCUAGUCCCUAA